AAACGUAGGGGGCAAGCGUUGUCCGGAAUUACUGGGCGUAAAGGGCGUGUAGGCGGUCACUUAAGUCAGGGGUGAAAACUGUGGGCUCAACCCACAGCCUGCCUUUGAAACUGGGUGGCUUGAGGACAGGAGAGGGGAGUGGAAUUCCCAGUGUAGCGGUGAAAUGCGUAGAUAUUGGGAGGAACACCAGUGGCGAAGGCGGCUCUCUGGCCUGUUUCUGACGCUGAGACGCGAAAGCGUGGGUAGCGAACGGGAUUAGAUACCCCGGUAGUCCACGCCGUAAACGAUGGGUGCUAGGUGUAGGAGGUAUCGACCCCUUCUGUGCCGUAGUUAACACAAUAAGCACCCCGCCUGGGGACUACGGCCGCAAGGCUAAA
rnacentral:rRNA from 1 species